UAUUCCUCUCGCGAGGCUUGCGUCCGCGCUCUAUCCGGAAGUGCUCGCCUAGCUCGAACCUGAAUCGGCUCGAGCGUUCGGCGAGGGCGGGAGUGAGCCGGGAGUUCCUCGCUGCGUGGGAAGACCAAAGACUAGAUUGUAGGAAAAGCAGAUAGAAGCCAUGUUUCGAAGACCUGUAUUACAGGUAUUUCAUCAGUUUGUAAGACGUGAGUCUGAAGUAGCCACCAGUUUGGUUCUUGAAAGAUCUCUGAACCGUGUGCAGCUGCUGGGGCGAGUGGGUCAGGACCCCGUCAUGAGACAGGUGGAGGGGAAAAAUCCAGUCACAAUAUUUUCUCUAGCGACAAAUGAGAUGUGGCGGUCCGGGGAGAGUGAAGCGUACCAGAUGGGUGAUGUCAGUCAAAAGACAACAUGGCACAGAAUCUCCGUAUUCCGCCCAGGCCUCAGAGAUGUGGCCUACCAGUAUGUGAAAAAGGGGUCCCGAAUCUAUGUAGAAGGGAAAGUAGACUAUGGUGAAUACACAGAUAAAAAUAACGUGAGGCGGCAAGCAACAACGAUCAUAGCUGAUAACAUUAUAUUUCUGAGUGACCAGACCAAAGAGAAGGCAUAGAGUGGACGAGUCUCCUUUGGCCAUUGUUUGGUACAGUCUCAUUUCCAAAUUAUGUAUAGUCUUUAUAGGUCCUAAGGACAAGAAUUAAAAUAUUAUUUUAUAUAAAAUGAAUGAUAAGACUUCUCAUGACUCUUACUCCCCCUCCCCUUUUUGUCUCAUAGGCCUUUGUAGCUAAUGAUUUAUUCUUUUAAGGAUGGUUUCUGUGUAUAAGUGUACAAAACAGUGAGCUGUCAGGUUCAUCUGUGUUAGAGCAAAGGGCUAAGUGUCCUUUGGGAUGCCCCCUUGUUUCUUGUGCACACUUUUAUAGUGUUGAUUCAGCCGCUGAGUAUUUGUUGAGCUUCACUGUGUGGCAGGCAUUUAUCCCAUGGUUGUGAACAACGAUUUUCUUACUGUUUGCCCUAUAAACUAGAUGGCAGGGACUGUAUCUUCUCUGUUUACCUGCCCCUUAACCAGGACUUGGCACAGUAUACUCGAUAAAUGGUGACAGAUGAAUGAUCCCAAUGGGAUAUUAAGCUUUAGCCCAAACUGGAAGGGGUUGCUGAACAGUGGUUGGUAUCUAACCUAGAGAGCUUCAAGACUAACAGACUAACCUACCUUCUUCUCUUCUUUUGUUUUUGGGCAAAUUUCACUAGUAGCAUUCAAAUAGAUUUUAGCAGCAGUAAAAACCUAAAAUAAUAAGGAGGGGUGAAAUAGUUCAUCUCCAGGUGAUGCCUCCGGGGCCCUGGUUCCACUAUUUUCUAUCUUUCUAAGCCCCGCUGUCAUCCUUUAGUCCCAUCCAGAACUUGGGGGCUCCCCAAGCAGCCUUUCACACGGCCUCCCUGGGUUAGAGCCGCAGCAAGGGCAUUUUCCUUCAAUUUUCCCACCCGGGCCCGUGGCGCACACGCGCAUCGUGCACACACAGUCACCCGGGCCCGUGGCGCACACGCGCAUCGUGCACACACAGUCACCCAGGCCGUGGGGCACACGCACAUCGUGCACACACAGUCACCCAGGCCCGUGGCGCACUCGCGCAUCGUGCACACACAGUCACCCGGGCCCGUGGCGCACAUGCGCAUCGUGUAUACACAGUUACUUUCAUGAUGAGAUUCUGGAAAUUACAGAGUAAGAAUGAUUUUCUAAUAAAUACUACAUAGAAUGAACUUGAGUUUUUCAGUGUGUCUUGUUCUGUUCAGGUCUGCACCAGAUCUGCACGGGUCUGCCUGCUGGUUCCCGCAGUUCAGACUCGGCUGCCGCGGAGCCUGGUGUCCGGGGCCGAUGACAGAAGUCCCUCACUCUGUCUAGGCCACCUGGCCUCUGGCUUUGCCUCGGGUCCAGCCUGUGUACGUGUGCCCCAGACGGCGUGUCUUGUCCGCUCCGCCUGAGAUCUGGACUGUCUGUGGUUUCCCAGUUCACAUACGGCACUACGGACCCGCACUGAGCAGUGUUUUGUACUUGCAGUGCAGUUUGGUCAAGGAAAGGUGGAGUUCCUUAGCUUUCCCUUGUUCCUGCGCAGGACUAGUAGACCAGUGGUUUCAGUCCCCUCCUCUCAGCUCUCCUUUUCUCCUGCCGCUGGGACCCUUAAUCAGUACGUUAACUCUGCUCCCUGACGUUCUCCGUUCAGACUGGUGACGUGGUCCUCACUCUUCUGUGCCACAUUCCUCAAGCAAGAUGUAAUGUAGAUAAGAUUGAUCUUUGGGCCACUCUUUCUUGGAAAAGCUACCUUUCUACUCCUUAAAGGUUGUGAGAAGUGAUGCAGAUUAGUCUUCCUGUUUAGUAGUGUGCCUUGGGCAGGUAAUAUGGUGAACAAGACAGUUUAAUGACCAGCCCAAAGCAACUCUGCGUCUAGGGUGCAGGGGCAGAAAGGCGCGGCCUGUAGGACCCCCGUGAGCCGCAGGCUUCUGCUCACUCUGCUGGAGCUUACCUGACGGGCCCCGAGGUUGGGCAGCGGGGCUUUCAGAGUCGUGUACUCAGUGCAGAGCCUCUGCAUGCGCGUGGUGCUGUGGACCUGAGGAGCAGAGCUGUGCCCUUCCCAUCUGGGCAGCCCCCUGUGCUGGGAAACUGUACCCCUCCCAAGCUGGUCUUGGAGGACUUGUGGGAGGUUGGUGGUGGGAAGAGUUGGUGGGGGUCUCCUAGGCCAUGUUUUGUGCCUUGCAUUCCCUUUUCACGUUGUUAUGGUAUCAGGGAAUAUACCCGUGGGAAACUGUCCUUCGACUUUGAUACUGGGAUUCUGUGUUGGGUGGAAAGUUGAGUAUGAUACGUAGAAGUGUGGGAGAAGAAGUAUCAAACAGCAUGUGGUGCUACCCUACUUUUGAAAAAGAAGUAGUUGAUAAAAGUGUAUGUUUAGAAAUGUCUGGGAGGAGAAACCUCAAACGGUUGUGAUGAUCUCUCGGUGGGGGGGGAUUAUGUGUGGUUUACCUUACUUUUUUUUGCACUUUUAUAUAUUUUAUUUCUUUUAAAGCAUUGAACAUACAUUAUUUUUGUAUUAAGAAAAAUAAAAGUUUUCACCUUGGGGGAAAAAAUCUUUCCAUUAUUUCCAGGCCAGGCUUGCACUCCUGAUCGACCUUCAGCUAAUACUGCUGCUUGUCCUGGAGGUGAGCAGGAGAGCAGGAGAGCCUCUCAUGUGUCGACGCCCAUCUUCUGCAUCUUAGUAUUACGUGCUUAGAUACGUCAUUCACCUUUUUCCCUCCUUUUUCUUUUGUGUUUUUCUUAAUACCCAUAUGUAACCCAGAAUAACGGUCUUUAAAGACCAACCCAUAUGAUAUCCACCAUUUGCUGCCAACACAAUUCUCCAAGAGUCAUUCAGUUCUUAAAAAUUACUGGACAAUGAAUCCAGAGACAUCCCAAAACACCAAAGAUGUGUUUUUGUGGCUGUUUUGGGGAUUACUUGUCAUUGUCAACUGGGUUACAGCCUAACCUCUGCAAUUCAGGAGAAAUUACUUGUGGUUUCUCUGUAUUCCCGAAAGAGACCAGACCAGUUUUUGAAGGCAGGGUUGUCUUUUACUCAAAACUACCUGUUCAUCCCCAUCCAGCUCAGCCGAGCACAGUGCCGUUGCAGGGCUUUCUAAAUGUCAGUUCGUUGGAUCGCACUGAAACACUGACGUGAAAUUGAGGGCAGAAUCACUUCACUUAUUUUUCUGUCAGGGUUUGGAUUAUAUGCUGUGAAGCUUGGUGGGAGCAGCAGCGAGCAAAUCAUUGUAGAAAAGUUAAUGAGUUAUAGAGACAUCUCUUACAAGGUAAUAAUUACCAUAUUAAUGCCUGACAUUUAUUCUGUACUCAACAGAUGCCAGACCCUGAGCUCAGGGCUUUUUAUUGUUGACUCAUUUAACUUACCCCUAAGAAGGUGGUAUUAUCCUGAUUUUACAGGUGAGGAAACGUGAAACUGAGAGGUUAAGUAACAUGUCGGAGUCAUGCAGCUUAGCAGGCACACUGGGAGUGGGAGUUUAGUUAACAGUUGCUAAGGGGCUGUAAGCAGAAGUCAUUUGGUGGUGCUUCCAGGAAAGCUUCUUAAAUGAUUAACUCUGUUGGGAGGCUUAUCCUUUGUGCUUCUCCGAAUCCUCACCUGCCUUUUUCCGGUCUGAAAUGUGGACAUGAUGGCUGGAUCUCCAGCAGCCAUCUUGGACUAUGAGACGAUCUUCGGGAUGGAAGACAGAAGAAGCUGGGAUCUGCGAUGACCAUGGAACCACCAUACCAGUCCUGGACAGUCUAUCUCUGGGCUUCUUUGGAAGACACAAAUAAAUCUCUGCCUUGUUUAAGCCA